rnacentral:lncRNA from 1 species
UCAUCAGUCCAAAUAUGAAGCAUCAACAUCUACACCAUUGAAGCGCCAACUGUGUAUUUCUGCAACACCAAUGCCAGCUCUGUCUAGCAUUCAUGGAGAAUCAUCUGAAAGGGAUGAUAAUUUGGAGGAGGUGAUGGAACAAGGUGAAACUAAAAAAGAAGGAUCUUCACAAAUGUUAUCUUGUGAGGGAAUUGAAGCAAACAUUGACGAGGAAGAGUUCAACAAUAUUCAAAACUCUGUGUAAGUAUUCAGAUGUUAAUAAAAUGUGUCUAAUUUUCCAUACUAAAAACUUUAUAUUGUGUACAUUCAGGAUAGAGUCAUCAGAUGACACAUGGUCACCAAACAGAGAACCAGAAGUUGAUUCGUCUUCAGAGGAGGACGAAACCAUCGAGAUGGACAGCGGUACUGAUGACAGCGGUGAUGAGGACUACACACCUUAUACACACAUAAGGACUGGAGCAGCAUUACAAAAAACAUUACAACUUGAGACUCUGCAAGAAAUUAACAUAGAGGAUACAGUUCAUGACUGUAAUAUCCCAGAAGCAACUGACCGACGUUUGACAAGCAAGAAAGGUCUUCCUCGACGCUACAAGCUAAGGCCUGAGGAUCCAAGGCGUUAUGGUUUGCUGUCCGGAGUUCCUGCACCAUCAACAGAGGAACUUCUACAACACCUACGGACUUGCGGUGAUGGUAAAAUAAAACAUUAUCUGCCUUACAUCUUCCACACAACAGUCCAUUGCUAA